rnacentral:misc_RNA from 1 species
GUGAAUCAUCGAAUCUUUGAACGCACAUUGCGCCCCCUGGUAUUCCGGGGGGCAUGCCUGUUCGAGCGUCAUUUCACCACUCAAGCCUCGCUUGGUAUUGGGCAACGCGGUCCGCCGCGUGCCUCAAAUCGACCGGCUGGGUCUUCUGUCCCCUAAGCGUUGUGGAAACUAUUCGCUAAAGGGUGUUCGGGAGGCUACGCCGUAAAACAACCCCAUUUCUAAGGUUGACCUCGGAUCAGGUAGGGAUACCCGCUGAACUUAAGCAUAUCAAUAAGCGGAGGA